rnacentral:rRNA from 1 species
GGGGAAUAUUGGGCAAUGGGCGAAAGCCUGACCCAGCGACGCCGCGUGAGGGAAGAAGGUCUUCGGAUUGUAAACCUCUGUUGACAGGGACGAAGGAAGUGACGGUACCUGUUGAGGAAGCCACGGCUAACUACGUGCCAGCAGCCGCGGUAAUACGUAGGUGGCAAGCGUUAUCCGGAAUUACUGGGUGUAAAGGGUGAGUAGGCGGGGAAGCAAGUCAGAUGUGAAAUGCAAAGGCUUAACCUUUGAAUUGCAUUUGAAACUGUUUCUCUUGAGGGUCGGAGAGGUAAUCGGAAUUCCUAGUGUAGCGGUGAAAUGCGUAGAUAUUAGGAGGAACACCAGUGGCGAAGGCGGAUUACUGGACGACUACUGACGCUGAAUCACGAAAGCGUGGGGAGCAAAC